GUCUAUGGCCAUAACACCCUGAACACGCCCCAUCUCCUCUGAUCUCAGAAGCUAAGCAGGAUCGGGCCUGGUUAGUACUUAGAUGGGAGAAAUAUAUUUGGAGUCUCCAGCCC
ensembl:rRNA 5S_rRNA 5S ribosomal RNA